rnacentral:rRNA from 1 species
CCCUACGGGACGCAGCAGUAGGGAAUUUUCGUCAAUGGGCGCAAGCCUGAACGUGCAAUGCCGCGUGAACGAGGAAGGUCUUCGGAUCGUAAAGUUCUGCUGAAGGGGAAAAAGAGCGGAGAGAGGAAAUGGUCUCCGAUUGAUAUUACCCUUCGAGGAAGUCACGGCUAACUACGUGCCAGCAGCCGCGGUAAUACGUAGGUGGCGAGCGUUAUCCGGAAUGAUCGGGCGUAAAGGGUGCGUAGGCGGCCUGCUAAGUCUGGAGUGAAAGGUACCGGCUCAACCGGUACAGGCUCUGGACCCUG